GAGGGUAUAGCUCAGCAGUAGAGUGCGUGCCUAGCAAGAACCAGGUCCUGGGUCCAAUCCCCAGUACCUCCA
rnacentral:tRNA from 1 species